ensembl:snoRNA
AUCAAGAUAUAAAACAUUUUCCUGAUGGGGCUUUUUCCAUAAACCUACAUAGUUGGAAACACCUUGUAGAGUCACUCCGUGGUUUCCUUUCCUCCCAGAACUGCAUGUUAGAUCUGUGGGAAAGAACUACAAGACAGAG